rnacentral:piRNA from 1 species
UGAACAAUCUCUCUUUGGCCUUAAAGGGCUGC